UACGGAGGGUGCAAGCGUUAUCCGGAUUUAUUGGGUUUAAAGGGUGCGUAGGCGGAAGAAUAAGUCAGUGGUGAAAGUUUGCAGCUCAACUGUAAAAUUGCCGUUGAAACUGUUUUUCUUGAGUGUGAAUGAGGUAGGCGGAAUGUGUUGUGUAGCGGUGAAAUGCUUAGAUAUAAUACAGAACCCCGAUUGCGAAGGCAGCUUACCGGACUGUAACUGACGCUGAGGCACGAAAGCGUGGGGAUCAAACAGG
rnacentral:rRNA from 1 species